UUGCUUUCUAAGAUAUAAAUUACAAAAUAAUUUAAACUUAUCAAUAAUUAGAAAUAAAAAGCUAAUCAAUUAUAAUGAUUUUAUUAUUUUGUAAAUGUUUUUCGUGCAUGAGCAUGGGAAAUCACCUAGUAUAUAUAUAUUCGGCAUGAGAGUUUUAGGAAUAUUUUUCAUAGAUUUUAAUUCUAAAGAUAUAUUAUAUGAGAAUUGAUAUAAAUAUUAUUUUAUAGUUUUGUAUAUAUUUAUAACUGUUUGGUUUUACAUUUUAAUUUUAGAAGAUAAAUAUAAUUAAUAUUUUUUCUUACAAAAGAAAAAUAGAAGUCAUCUAUAUAUCUAUCGAUAACAAUAAAGGAGACUUUUCUUUCUUCUCCUGCUGCCAUGUCACCUGGGCAUUUUAGGACACGUGUACACUAUUUGAAAAACUUUCUCAAAAUUGUGUUUUCAAUUCGUUUUGACUUGGACUAAAGGACUUUCAGAAACAAACUGUGUAGAGAUGAAUCCACGCCUCUUGCCUCUGUCGUUUCGCUUCACCUUCCACAAAGUUCUUUCUGCAAAACGGUUGUCAUUAUGGCAAUCAAUCAUCAAUCCCCACUGCUUUUUACUUCGUUUUCAUCGUCGCUCAUGCCGAUAUAUGGAGCCGUUCUGCGAGGCUUCACCGAGAAUCCAUCUCUUGAUUCUUGAUUAGAAAACCCUAAAUCGUUUUAAAUUAGCCCCGAGGAUGGCAAAUCACAGUUCUAUUUAUAUGAGCUCAAGGCUGGCCGCUGCAGGCAGAGUGUUGACAGGAGGCUUUUCCGGUUCUGGAAAGCUCGAAAUGUGAAGAAAGGUGGAGAGUUAAUGGGCUUCAUCUGGUACUGCUAGAAAGGAAGAAACAUUUUGAAGCAAGGAAGGCUGUAUGAUCUAAGUGGGUUUGAUGUAACAAAGACCAACCAAAGCUUCUGCCUUUCAGACUCCCCUGUAUCAAUUUGUUUUACAGACCAGGCAAAAUUUCAUGAGUUGCCUGAGAACAAGGGCUUGAUCCCGAUGGAACUCUUCAGGUUCCAGGAUUACGAUAAUUCAGUGUUGUUGGCUAACACAAACACUGACUUGCCAGGUAAUCCGUUAUUAAAGCAACAAUACACAUUCUAAGGUCUGCCCACCUACUCUCUUUUAUGUUGUUAGGCUACUAACGAGAAAGGAUAGCUUACUUUUUAGAACCGAGUUAUUAAUUUACUCUUUCAUCGCGCAGGGACGUAAAGGUUUGUCUUAGUGUUUUUGAUAAGUGGUUAUCCAUGGCGUGGAACCACAGGUUAUUGCAGCUACCAAUGUCAAUUCAAAAUUGGUUGGAGGACGCCUUUUCCCAAAUCUAGCCUCAGUAACCCUUCUAUACUUCGCCGGUGAGUGUGAGGCCAACACAAGUUGCGUUAAGGGGUAAGAGUUUAUGCAUUUAGUAUUUUUAUCAUUUUUGUAAAGGUCCUAUUAUGUGUAGACCCAUCGUUUUUCCUUUAAUUCAUGUUGGUGAACAUUGAUGAGGGUUCUUCCUCUUCUCCCAAAAAAUUUACAGUGGUCAAGAAGUUUGCAU